AUGGGGUGGUCUGAGGUAAAAGCCAUGGGGUGGUCUGAGGUAAAAGCCAUGGGGUGGUCUGAGGUAAAAGCCAUGGGGUGGUCUGAGGUAAAAGCCAUGGGGUGGUCUGAGGUAAAAUCUAUGGGGUGGUCUGAGGUAAAAGCCAUGGGGUGGUCUGAGGUAAAAGCCAUGGGGUGAUUUGAGGUAAAAGCCAUGGGGUGGUCUGAGGUAAAAUCUAUGGGGUGGUCUGAGGUAAAAGCCAUGGGGUGGUCUGAGGUAAAAUCUAUGGGGUGGUCUGAGGUAAAAGCCAUGGGGUGGUCUGAGGUAAAAGCCAUGGGGUGAUUUGAGGUAAAAGCCAUGGGGUGGUCUGAGGUAAAAUCUAUGGGGUGGUCUGAGGUAAAAGCCAUGGGGUGGUCUGAGGUAAAAGCCAUGGGGUGGUCUGAGGUAAAAUCUAUGGGGUGGUCUGAGGUAAAAGCCAUGGGGUGGUCUGAGGUAAAAGCCAUGGGGUGAUUUGAGGUAAAAGCCAUGGGGUGGUCUGAGGUAAAAUCUAUGGGGUGGUCUGAGGUAAAAGCCAUGGGGUGGUCUGAGGUAAAAGCCAUGGGGUGGUCUGAGGUAAAAGCCAUGGGGUGGUCUGAGGUAAAAUCUAUGGGGUGGUCUGAGGUAAAAGCCAUGGGGUGGUCUGAGGUAAAAGCCAUGGGGUGGUUUGAGGUAAAAGCCAUGGGGUGGUUUGAGGUAUCCUCCAUGCUUCAGCAACUUGGCAGGGAUAUCGUCAAUGCCUGGGGUCAUUUUUUAGGGAGCAGACAGCUGUCAGAAUCUCAAAGAAGGUUGGUAUCUGACUGAGAAGUUGAAUAGUGUAUUAGAGUAAUAGAGUAUUCAGGCAGCCCCUUUAGUAUGGAAUGGUCUACAGGAGCAUGCUGAUUAAGAUGAGAACAGAAUUCUGUGCUGAUCUUUUAGGAGGGUAACUCUGUGCACCUCUAUUGAUCUGGCACUUCAAAUGGAUUGGGUAACUAAGUUUGAAAUUGGGAUUGGCUACGUAGACCUACAUCAUCACCUGAGAUUUUCAGACAGGCAGUGAUAUACGUACCCUGUGCCGAGAGAUGAAUAUUCAGUGUGAAGUGUUUUUUUGUUGUAGUCACAACAUGCAAUGUUUUUUACUAUCCAGUCAGCUAGUGUUCAGGUUUUUGCUUUUACCCUUCAUCUAAAUUACUCACUGGAGGCAAGUGGGUUUGUGGAAUUUGCAGCUCUGCCUAUAACAGUGUAAAGAUGCAGCUUUCUCGGCUGAGUAUGAUUAUGGUAACAAGGCAGCAGGCACACACAAUAGGGCUGAGGUCACCAGGUGGAGGUGGCACUGCCAGAGCAGUAGAGGAGCCUACAGUGGCUCUCAAAAAGAAAUUCUGUGGGGCCUGGAUCAUCUUAGCAUGCAUAAUGCAGGAACAUCAAAGGAGAAAGAGGGUCACAGCCCUGCUUCUGGAUUAUUAACAAGAAAAUGUAAGAGAGCAAGUGAAUUGUAUUGCUGUAUACAUUUUAUAUUAAUGGGUGUAUCAAUAUAACAUUGAUAGGAUUUGCACUAAUAUCAAAAAAACAUUGUCUGCAGUAUUUUCAGUAUGAUCUGUGGCAGUAUCAUUCAGCUGCGUAGCAAAAUAAAUCAAUAAAUAAAUCACAGAAAGAGGCAGGAUGAACAGAAAUUGCCGGCAUUGGCAUCACCAUGCAUCUGGGAUUGGUGAGGCUGUUUCUCGUGCUUCUGCCUGAGCAGUUACCCUUUCCCUGUCACUAUGCUCACUGUAAACACAUGCGGAAUGUUCCAUGCUCUCCUCACCACUACAAAUGCCUUGUU